GCGUGUGUGGACUGAAACCCAAAAGCCAGAAACUCUCUGCAUGUGUCCCUCAUGGAGCCAUAUGGUCUCUAGUCUCUGUUUUUCAAAAUUUGCAGGACUGAUGACUGAUUGGACAGUGGUGCAGGAGGGAAGGUCUCUGCAUGUCAGUGAUUAAAUUGCUGAAGAUGCCACUGCCUGAGACGGGCAGUAUUGAAGGAAGGAGUGGAGGCCCUGGUGCUCUGCCCUUGGUGCUGAGUAUCCAGCAAGAGUGACUGGGGUGAAGAAGCAAAGACUCGGUUGAUUGUCCUGGGCUGUGGCUGGCUGUGGAGCUAGAGCCCUGGAUGGCCCCUGAGCCAGCCCCAGGGAGGACGAUGGUGCCCCUUGUGCCUGCACUGGUGAUGCUUGGUUUGGUGGCAGGCGCCCAUGGUGACAGCAAACCUGUCUUCAUUAAAGUCCCCGAGGACCAGACUGGGCUGUCGG
rnacentral:sRNA from 1 species